GAAAUGCGAUACGUAGUGUGAAUUGCAGAAUCCUGUGAAUCAUCGAAUCUUUGAACGCAUCUGGCGCUUCAGGGCAUUCCCUGGAGCAUGCCUGUUUGAGCAUCAGCUAUAACCCUCUUGCGCACACUGUAACAAGUGGUGCAAGGUGCAAGGCUGGGUGUCACGCGCUGCUGCGCGUGUCGCCUGAAAUGGAACACGAAAGGUGGCGGAACCAACGUAGUCCCCCAAGGCAUCGUGUGUGGUAGGCAGGAGGUGCGCUCGCGCACCCACCGCAUAACACAUCGCACGGCGCCCGGCGGCGGGCUGGUCCCCCCACUGUUAGCAUAACACCUUUCAGCAAUGAUCUCAAAUCAGGCAAGACUACCCGCUGAAUUUAA
rnacentral:misc_RNA from 1 species